UUAAAAUGUAAAAUAAAAAAUUUGAGUAGUAUUAGAUAUGAUCUUGAAACUUAAAAAAUUUGGCGGUAUUUUAGUCUAUUCAGAGGAACCUGUUCUAUAAUCGAUAAUCCACGAUGGACCUUACUUAAAUUUGUUAAUCAGUUUAUAUACCGUCGUUAUUAGAAUAUUUUGUAAAAAUAAUAAUUUUCUAUAAUUUUAAUUAAAAUAUAUAUCAGAUCAAGGUGUAGCUUAUAUUUAAGAAGAAAUGGGUUACAAUAAAUUUAUUUAAAUGGAUAUAAAAAUGAAAAAGUUAUUGAAAGUGGAUUUGAUAGUAAAAUUAUAAAGAUUAAUAAUUUGAUUUUAGCUCUAAAAUAUGC
rnacentral:rRNA from 1 species